rfam:Salmo salar isolate Sally breed double haploid chromosome ssa03, whole genome shotgun sequence.
ACUAAUUUCUCCUGUAAGUCACUCUGGAUAAGAGUGUCUGCUAAAUGACUAACG